rnacentral:rRNA from 1 species
GCAGUCGAGCGGUACAGAUCCAGCUUGCUGGAUGCUGACGAGCGGCGGACGGGUGAGUAAUGCAUAGGAAUCUGCCCGAUAGUGGGGGAUAACCUGGGGAAACCCAGGCUAAUACCGCAUACGUCCUACGGGAGAAAGGGGGCUCCGGCUCCCGCUAUGGGAUGAGCCUAUGUCGGAUUAGCUAGUUGGUGAGGUAACGGCUCACCAAGGCCACGAUCCGUAGCUGGUCUGAGAGGAUGAUCAGCCACAUCGGGACUGAGACACGGCCCGAACUCCUACGGGAGGCAGCAGUGGGGAAUAUUGGACAAUGGGGGAAACCCUGAUCCAGCCAUGCCGCGUGUGUGAAGAAGGCCCUCGGGUUGUAAAGCACUUUCAGCGAGGAAGAACGCCUAGCGGUUAAUACCCGCUAGGAAAGACAUCACUCGCAGAAGAAGCACCGGCUAACUCCGUGCCAGCAGCCGCGGUAAUACGGAGGGUGCAAGCGUUAAUCGGAAUUACUGGGCGUAAAGCGCGCGUAGGUGGCUUGAUAAGCCGGUUGUGAAAGCCCCGGGCUCAACCUGGGAACGGCAUCCGGAACUGUCAAGCUAGAGUGCAGGAGAGGAAGGUAGAAUUCCCGGUGUAGCGGUGAAAUGCGUAGAGAUCGGGAGGAAUACCAGUGGCGAAGGCGGCCUUCUGGACUGACACUGACACUGAGGUGCGAAAGCGUGGGUAGCAAACAGGAUUAGAUACCCUGGUAGUCCACGCCGUAAACGAUGUCGACCAGCCGUUGGGUGCCUAGCGCACUUUGUUGGCGAAGUUAACGCGAUAAGUCGACCGCCUGGGGGAGUACGGCCGCAAGGUUAAAACUCAAAUGAAUUGACGGGGGCCCGCACAAGCGGUGGAGCAUGGUGGUUUAAUUCGAUGCAACGCGAAGAACCUUACCUACUCUUGACAUCCUGCGAAUUUGGUAGAGAUACCUUAGUGCCUUCGGGAACGCAGAGACAGGUGCUGCAUGGCUGUCGUCAGCUCGUGUUGUGAAAUGGUUGGGUUAAGUCCCGUAACGAGCGCAACCCUUGUCCUUAUUUGCCAGCGCGUAAUGGCGGGA